GAUAGACGCUAGCGGCAGGCUUAACACAUGCAAGUCGAGGGGCAGCAUAGAUUGUAGCAAUACAGUUGGUGGCGACCGGCGCACGGGUGCGUAACGCGUAUGCAACCUGCCCGUCACAGGGGGAUAAUCCGGAGAAAUCUGGUCUAGUACCCCAUAACAUAUGGAUCGGCAUCGGUUCAUGUUGAAAUUUUCGGAGGUGACGGAUGGGCAUGCGUAGCAUUAGCUUGUUGGUGAGGUAACGGCUCACCAAGGCGACGAUGCUUAGGGGGACUGAGAGGUUUUCCCCCCACACUGGUACUGAGACACGGACCAGACUCCUACGGGAGGCAGCAGCGAGGAAUAUUGGUCAAUGGGCGCAAGCCUGAACCAGCCAUGCCGCGUGCAGGAUGACGGCUCUAUGAGUUGUAAACUGCUUCUGUACGAGGGUAAAGUGGGUUACGUGUAACCUUUUGAAAGUAUCGUACGAAUAAGGAUCGGCUAACUCCGUGCCAGCAGCCGCGGUAA
rnacentral:rRNA from 1 species